rfam:Trametes versicolor FP-101664 SS1 unplaced genomic scaffold TRAVEscaffold_10, whole genome shotgun sequence.
GGCUCUAUAGCUCAGUGGUAGAGCAUACGAUUGCAGAUCGUAGGGUCCCGUGUUCGAACCACGGUGGGGCCU